UACGUAGGGUGCAAGCGUUGUCCGGAAUUAUUGGCGUAAAGAGCUCGUAGGCGGUCUGUCGCGUCUGGUGUGAAAACCUCAGGCUUAACCCGUGAGCUUGCAUCGGGUACGGGCAGACUAGAGUGCGGUAGGGGAGACUGGAUUCCUGGUGUAGCGGUGAAAUGCGCAGAUAUCAGGAGGAACACCGGGUGGCGAAGGCGGGUCUCUGGGCCGUAACUGACGCUGAGGAGCGAAAGCAUGGGGAGCGAACAGG
rnacentral:rRNA from 1 species